rnacentral:lncRNA from 1 species
UAUGAAUAAGAUUCGUCACUAACUUUGACCAGUAGAAGACACACUGAAAUUGCUAUGAUUCUACAGAGGUUUUUUUAACAUCACUGAACAUAAAAAAGUCAUUACAUUGAGAAACUGAACCUGAAUUCUGCUUUGGACAGUGACUAGACUUGACAGUAAAGGGAAGAAGGAGUAUAAGUCACCUUAGAACUUAAAAAAGGUGCUUCAGUGACUUUUCACUAAAAGCAAUCAAAAGGAGAAAAAUAGCUUUGGAGAUUACAGUAUGACUACGCUUGAGGAUCAGCCCUUUGAAACCAGGAUUGGCUGGACCUAGUGAGCUGAAAUAUUUCAGAAGCAUGGAAGAAUAAGAAGCCAUAACAUUACGGCAAAGGCAACCCAGGUUGACAGAGGGUAGGA